rnacentral:rRNA from 1 species
GUCCAUGCCGUAAACGGUGGGCGCUAGGUGUAGGGACUUCCACGUUCUCUGUGCCGUAGCUAACGCAUUAAGCGCCCCGCCUGGGGAGUACGGCCGCAAGGCUAAACUCAAAGGAAUUGACGGGGCCCGCACAAGCGGCGGAGCAUGUGGAUUAAUUCGAUGCAACGCGAAGAACCUUACCUGGGCUUGACAUACACCGGACCGGCGUAGAGAUACGUCUUCCCUUGUGGCCGGUGUACAGGUGGUGCAUGGUUGUCGU